rnacentral:tRNA from 1 species
AGGUAGAAUGGCUGAGUGGUAAGCAGCAGGCUGUAGUCCUGCUAACAUGGGUUUAAUUCCUGUUUCUAU